rnacentral:rRNA from 1 species
UACCCGCAGCACAAGUGGUGGUCAUUAUUAUUGGGCCUAAAGCGUCCGUAGCUGGCUUGUUAGAUGCCUGGGUAAAUCGAUGCGCUCAACGCAUCGAACUCCGGGUAGACCGGCAAGCUUGGGACCGGGAGAGGCGUGAGCUACUCGAGGGGUAGGGGUAAAAUCCUGUAAUCCUUCGGGGAGGACCAGUGGCGAAGGCGUCACGCUAGAACGGCUCCGACAGUGAGGGACGAAGCCCUG